GACGAACGCUGGCGGCGGGCUUAACACAUGCAAGUCGAGCGGAAAGGCUCAAGCUUGCUGGAGUAUUCGAGUGGCGAACGGGUGAGUAACAUGUGGGUGAUCUGCCCUGCACUUCGGGAUAAGCGUGGGAAACUGCGACUAAUACCGGCGAGGACCGCACGAUGGUGGGGGAGGUGGGGAGGUUUUUCUGUGGGGUGAGUAGAUGGCGGCCUAGCUGUUUGGUGGUGGGGUGAUGGGCUACCAAGACGACGCGGGGUAGCCUGACUGGGAGGGUGGAACGCGGCAUUGGGACCGACAGACGGCCCCGAUUCCUAAUGGAGGCAGCAGUGGGGAAUAUUGCACAAUGGGGGCCACCCUGAUGCAGCGACGCCUCGUGGGGGAUGAAGGCCUUCGUGUUGUAAACUGCUUGUGCUAGGGACGAAGCUUUUUGUGACGGUACCUGGAGAAGAAGCACCGGCUAACUACGUG
rnacentral:rRNA from 1 species